UUUCAACAGAUGAAUAUGGUGGUGGGGGGGUGUAAACAUUCCGAUCGCAGCGGCCACCCACCUAUCACCUUGGUCUGGGGUGUAGCAGGCAUUGCCAGGGCUCAGCCAAAGCCGGGCUCCAGCUGCUCGUGGAGAUAACAAAGGCUUCUGUGGCCUCAUCUACUUCAUUGUGACGAGGUCGAGGCUGUAAGGGGCCAAGUGGAUGAUUUAGCUCAACAGCUAAAUGAUGUUCUGUGAGAAAGGGACUGAGGCUGCCGUGGACAGUGGUCAUCUCGGGCUUCGAAGUAUCUAUUCCAGCUUCCUAAGGGCUCACCCUUGUCCUGGGGUGAAAUGAUCCUCCCACCACGCCCACAGCCCACGGUGGAGGGGUCAUUCCUGGCACCUCCUCCCGCAAUUGGAUUACAAGGGUUCCCAGGCCGAGUCCACUCCGCGGCUGCGUAAGAGGUCAAUGUGAAGUCAACGUCUAAUGGACCCGAGUACAGCCAAGAACACAGACCAGUUGUUCCAGGGAAGAAUCUCAUGGUGAAGCACUAGUGAGCGUCCAAGCAACUCCCAGCCUAACCUCAGGGGUCUGACUGUGGGGCUGCUUCUGCCACGGCUCCUGGCUGGCGAUGGGGCUGUCAGCGCGUCAGCCAACCAUGCAUUGCAGAUGCACUUUGAAGAAAAUUAAUGUACCUGGGUACUUAUGGGACUCCCUGCAUGAGUGGGUAUAAUUGAAAUAGCCGGGACAUCAAAAAGCUGGAACAUUGGGAGCCUGGCCCUAGGGUGGCGGAGGCCACAACGGAGCCCCCAGCCGGUUGGAAAGAGGCUUCCUAUGCUCUCCUUUCCAUGCCACUGCGGAAGUGCUAGGGAACAGGAAGACCAGGGCAUUGCCAAGUGAAUAAUAACAACCAUAUGUGCAGCGUUCACGAUACCCCAGGCUCAGUGAGCCUUUUACUCAGGGUCUCAUGUGAUGCUGAAAACAAUCCCAUGAAGUUUAGAAGCCUGUGCACACGAAGAGAAGUGGUGUUUCCCUAUUGAUCCAAACUGCGUGCUGACCUGUUCCUGCCAGGGCUGCGCUCCUCCUGCUUUGCCCUGGUUCUCCCGUUCUGCACUCCCUCUUCUGCCGGGAAUUCCUGGAAGCACCUUUUAUUCACAGUGCCUGCUUUGAAUAGAUACAAAUGCAAUUUGUAUCUUAUGUAGUCCAUUCCACACAAUUGAAAAUAUAAUGUAAUAAAAAUCAGAAAAGUAAAUCCAGUAAAGUCUCUAACACAUAUUAGGGCCUCAAUAAAUGGACCCUAAGAGGGUGGGGAAAUGG